rnacentral:rRNA from 1 species
GAGUUUGAUCAUGGCUCAGAUUGAACGCUGGCGGCAGGCCUAACACAUGCAAGUCGAACGGUAACAGGAAGCAGCUUGCUGCUUCGCUGACGAGUGGCGGACGGGUGAGUAAUGUCUGGGAAGCUGCCUGAUGGAGGGGGAUAACUACUGGAAACGGUAGCUAAUACCGCAUAAUGUCGCAAGACCAAAGAGGGGGACCUUCGGGCCUCUUGCCAUCGGAUGUGCCCAGAUGGGAUUAGCUUGUUGGUGGGGUAACGGCUCACCAAGGCGACGAUCCCUAGCUGGUCUGAGAGGAUGACCAGCCACACUGGAACUGAGACACGGUCCAGACUCCUACGGGAGGCAGCAGUGGGGAAUAUUGCACAAUGGGCGCAAGCCUGAUGCAGCCAUGCCGCGUGUAUGAAGAAGGCCUUCGGGUUGUAAAGUACUUUCAGCGGGGAGGAAGGGAGUAAAGUUAAUACCUUUGCUCAUUGACGUUACCCGCAGAAGAAGCACCGGCUAACUCCGUGCCAGCAGCCGCGGUAAUACGGAGGGUGCAAGCGUUAAUCGGAAUUACUGGGCGUAAAGCGCACGCAGGCGGUUUGUUAAGUCAGAUGUGAAAUCCCCGGGCUCAACCUGGGAACUGCAUCUGAUACUGGCAAGCUUGAGUCUCGUAGAGGGGGGUAGAAUUCCAGGUGUAGCGGUGAAAUGCGUAGAGAUCUGGAGGAAUACCGGUGGCGAAGGCGGCCCCCUGGACGAAGACUGACGCUCAGGUGCGAAAGCGUGGGGAGCAAACAGGAUUAGAUACCCUGGUAGUCCACGCCGUAAACGAUGUCGACUUGGAGGUUGUGCCCUUGAGGCGUGGCUUCCGGAGCUAACGCGUUAAGUCGACCGCCUGGGGAGUACGGCCGCAAGGUUAAAACUCAAAUGAAUUGACGGGGGCCCGCGCAAGCGGUGGAGCAUGUGGUUUAAUUCGACGCAACGCGAAGAACCUUACCUGGUCUUGACAUCCACGGAAGUUUUCAGAGAUGAGAAUGUGCCUUCGGGAACCGUGAGACAGGUGCUGCAUGGCUGUCGUCAGCUCGUGUUGUGAAAUGUUGGGUUAAGUCCCGCAACGAGCGCAACCCUUAUCCUUUGUUGCCAGCGGUCCGGCCGGGAACUCAAAGGAGACUGCCAGUGAUAAACUGGAGGAAGGUGGGGAUGACGUCAAGUCAUCAUGGCCCUUACGACCAGGGCUACACACGUGCUACAAUGGCGCAUACAAAGAGAAGCGACCUCGCGAGAGCAAGCGGACCUCAUAAAGUGCGUCGUAGUCCGGAUUGGAGUCUGCAACUCGACUCCAUGAAGUCGGAAUCGCUAGUAAUCGUGGAUCAGAAUGCCACGGUGAAUACGUUCCCGGGCCUUGUACACACCGCCCGUCACACCAUGGGAGUGGGUUGCAAAAGAAGUAGGUAGCUUAACCUUCGGGAGGGCGCUUACCACUUUGUGAUUCAUGACUGGGGUGGAGUCGUAACAAGGUA